ACUCCUGAUAACAAAUAUCUCGGCUCUUGUAAUGAUGAAGAAUGCGAUACGUGGUGUGAAUUGCAAAAUCCCGCAAACCAUCGAAUCUUUGAAUGCAAGUUGCACCCGAGGCCAUCCAGCCGAGGGCACACCUGCAUGGGCAUCAUGCCUCUAGUUGCUCUACAUGCCCCCCCACCCCCCCUUGCCCCUGCAGCGGGCAAGCAAGUGGGCAUGCAGACACGGAGGCUGGCUGGCUGUGCACAUGUGCACAGCGGGCCAAAGCACUCAGCCCCCUACAAGAUGUGCUGCGGCAAGUGGUGGGACUUUCAUCGUCACCACAGCCACCGUUUGUUGUCGGAGGUGGGGGGGGGAGAGAGAGAGAGGGACAGAACCUAGGCAUGAGUGUGGCGGCCCCUAUGCUACCUACUCAGACCGCAACCCUAGGUCAAGCAAGGCCACCUGCCGAGUUUAAGCAUAUAAAUAAGUAGAGGAGAAGAAACUGAUGAGGAUUCCCCUAGUAAAUGGUGAGCAAAUUGGGAACGGCCCAGCUUGAGAAUCAGGUCCACCUCCCAAAUUGUAGUAUGUAGAGGUGUCCUCAACGAUGGACUGGGCACAAGUCCCUUGGAAGGUGGCACCAAAGAGGCUGCGAGCCCCAUCGUGCCUAGACCUGGUGCAGCAUGAGGGGCUGUUGGCAAGUCAAGUUGUUUGGAAUGUAGCCCCAAUUGGGCAGUAAAUUCCAUCCAAGGCUAAAUAUGGGCGAGAGAUUGAUAGCAAACAACUAUUAUGAGGGAAAAGAUGAAAAGAACUUUGAAAAGAGAGUCAAAGAGUGCUUGAAAUUGUUGGGAGGGAAGCGGAUGGGGGCCAGCAGUGCGCCUCGGCUGGAUGCCGCUGUUCUACUACUUGACUUAGGGUGCGGACCGUCAUAGGUUGCAUCGGUGGUGUAAACCUAGGCGAAGCAUUCAUUCGUGGAGAUGCUGUCAACAGCAAUCAGGGGAUGCAGUGCAUGUCAUCUCGGCAUGCUCCCUAGUGGGGCACCCAUAUGCUCCAGGUAAUAGCUGGUGGACCCCUCAUCUGGCAUGUCUUGAAACACAGACCAAGGAGUUCGACAUGCAUGCACGUCAACGGGUGUAGAAACUCAUGAGGUGCAAGCAAAUUGACUAGUGGGAUCCCUCCCAAGGGGUGCACCAUCGGCCAACCCCAAUCUUCUGAGAAAGGUUCAAGUGGAGCAUGGACAUUGGAACUCGAAAGAUGGUGAACUAUGUCUAAGUAGGGUGAAGCCAGAGGAAACUCUAGUGGAGGCUCGCAGUGAUAUUGAUGUGCAAAUUGUUUGUCUGACUUGGGUAUAGGGGCGAAAGAUUAAUCAAACCAUCCAGUACCUAGUUCCCUCCAAAGUUUUCCUCAAAAUAGUUGGAGCUCAUCGUCGAGUUUUAUUAGGUAAAGCCAAUGAUUAGAUGCCUUGAGGACUCGAUGCCCUCAACCUAUUCUCAAACUUUCAAUAGGUAGGACUGGUGCAACUUCUUCGGUGAGCCACAAGCAAAAUCGAGAGCUCUAAGUGAGCCAUUUUUUGUAAGUAAAAUUAGCGAUGCAAGAUGAACAUGAAGCCGAGUUAUGGUGUCAGACUAUGUGUUAACUCAGAACCCACAAAGGUUGUUGAUCGAUUAAGAUAGUAAGACAGUGGUCAUGGAAGUAAAAAUCCGCUAAGGAGUGUGUAACAACUCACUUGCUGAAUCAAUUAGCCCCAAAAAUAGAUGACGCUAAAGCACACCACCCACACCCGACCAUCGGGGCGAGGGGCAGGCCCCGAUGAGUAAGAGGGCAUGGCGGCCACCGCAAAGCCUAAGGCGUAAGCCCAAGUAGAGCAGCCGUCGAUGAAGAUCUCGGUGGUAGUAGCAAAUAUUCAAAUGAGAACUUUGAAGGCCGAAGAGGGGAAAGGUUCCAUGUGAAUGGCACUUGCACAUGGGUUAGUUGAUCCUAAGGGUCAGGGAAAGCCCAACAAACAGUGUAAUCUUGUGUACAAGUCGAAAGGGGAUCGGGUUAAAAUUCUCGAAUCGAGAUGUGGCGCCUAAUGACGACACUAGUGGGGCCCCAUGGAAAUGGCUCAGCUAGGGGUAGGGGUCCAAUGGCCAGAAGAGCACUGCACUUUCUGCAGCAUCUAGUACACACUCGACAACCCUUGAAAAUCUAGAGGACUGAGUGCCGCCCACACCUUGUCGUACUCAUAACCACAUUAGGUCUCCAAGGUGAACAACCUUUGGUCGACAGACGAAUGUAGGCAAGAGAAGUCUACAAAAUGGAUCUGUAACCUUGGGAAAAGGAUUAGCUCUGAGGGCUAAGUCCGGAGGUCCUAGUCUUGAACCCAUUGGCUGCUGACAAACUACUCAAGUUGCUUGCACGGCAAGAGCGGGUUACUGCAUGCUAGCUGGGAGCGGCUAGUGCCACAUGUCUACCCCACGCCCUCAAGUGUGGGUGGGCAGCAAGGGUGGGGGCCUUCCCCAAGCAUUGAAUAGUCAACUCAAAACUAAUAUGGACAAGAGAAAUCCAAUUGUUUAAUCAAAAUAAAGCAUUGUGAUAGUCCUUGUAGAUGCUCACACAAUGUGAUUUCUACUUAGUGCUCUAAAUGUCAAAGUGAAGAGAUUCAACCAAGCAUGGUGAUAAGUCUUUAUUAUCAUGAGUUAAUAAUUAGUAAAUAAUAUUUUUUAAUAUUAACUCAUAAAAAAUAUACUUAUAUUUAUGUUAAAGUGUGAAAAUGAUUUUCAAUUAAUUAACAUAAAUUUUUGGCUAAUUAUGUAAUUUUUUACAAAUUUAUAUAAUUUUUAUAGUCUUAUUUUUGAAGUAAAUGAAGAAAAAGAAAUAAAAAUAAAAAUAUAGCAAAAUGGGGGAACCUACUGACUAAUCGAGCCUGCAAGCAGGUCGAAAGCGUAGUUGGAGAGGAGCCAUAAGUAGGGGCUCGAGCGACUAGAACUGAUGAGUACAUGUGUGCACCACUCUCCUUUCAUAUCACUAGUGGCUAGUUGACUGUAGGACAAGGAGUGGUUGUACACGUGGGAGAAAGAGACUCAUUGCUUAUAAAUAUAAUAUUACUAAAUAUUCACCCUCGUCACACAAGCGAUGUGAGACUAAACUCGCAUCACACCUUCCCUCGAAAGACUUUUGAUAAUUUAAUACCUAAAAUAUCAUUUAUUUAUAAUAGAGAUAUAUCAUAAUGAUGUCAUUUGAUAAAGAUAUUAAAGUAUUUAUUUCAAUCUCUCUCAUGUAGGUAGGCAACUAGUGCAAGUUUGAAUACUCUUAGAGUCAAAACUCGUAUUUUUAUCUGAUUAUCAUGACUUUUUUGAUCAUUGAUAAAAGAUUAAGCUAUUAGAAUUACUAGAUCAUUGGUGAAAAUCUUGUCAAUACGGUUCAUAGAAAAUUAUUACUAAAAUUAUUGAACGAUUUGCAAUAAAAAGAUUGUGAAUCUAUCGAGUAAAUCAUCUCUAAUUGAUUGACGAAUAAGCUGUCCUCGAGAAGAAGAUAAUUUGUCGGGAGACGAGUUGUCACCUCUUGAGAGCGUACCAGAUGCAAUGAAGAGGCUCCUCUUGUUGUGCGAACUUGAGGAUAAAGCUCCCUGACACACGCUCCACCUCUAUUCAGCUUUUCUUUGUUGGGUGAUAGUCACCAAAGAGCCACAAAGUCGCCAUUUUUUUGCUCCACUGGGUGAUAGCUGCCAAAGACGAUUUGACAACCCAUUUUGUUGAUCUUUAGACUUCACGAGGAGAUCUAGAGAUUGCCCAUGUUGUCCUUGUCUAAGGAGAGCCUUUAAGGCUGUGGAUAUUGUACAACAAUCCUCCUAAAUGCUCAACAUUUCAGUGCAUCACCGACACAUCGUCACCGUGACAUCGGAACUCUGUUUCCUACUUUUAACUUAAUUUCUACUUCAUUUAGUAAUAAUUUAUGUGAUUUAAAUUUACCAAGUUAUACUUCAUUCAAUCACAAUUCUUCUAGCCUUUACAAAUCUUAAUUUGUUUAAUUAAAUUGUCUAUAAUCACUUACGUAAGAAUCAUCAAGUAAAACUCUAUUUUUACUCGAUUCACAUUCGUCGGGCACUGACAUCAUCUUGACAUCUACUGGAUGACAUCUGUACUUUAUUUCCCUUUUUUUGAAUUUUAAAUAUAUUUUAUUUUUAUUUAUUUAUAUAAAAUUCAUGAAAAUCAUAUUUUUUGAGAUUUUUUUUGAAUAAUUACCUGAUAUUAUAUUAUAUCCCUAUGAUUGACCUAAAAAAUUACCAUUAUUUGUAGAUUUUUUAUUAAAUUAUAAUUGAUAUAUUUGUUCAGAAAUACUUCUAAAUAUUUAAAAAUUAAUAUUUUUUAGUUUUAUAAUUUUUAAAUUUACAUGAUUUAUUAUACAACGACUAAGUCACGUCACACACGUAAAUGAUGUGAGUAACUAUGACUCUCUUAUGAUAGUCAAACGCCUCGUCAUUUAAUUAGUGGCACAUAUGAAUGGAUUAAUGAGAUUUUCACUGUCCCUAUCUACUAAUGCUAAAAGCACAUGACUACUAACAUGUGUAAGCAUAUGACUACUGAUAGGAUGAACUUUAUUUCCUAAAAGCACAAAAAACCCUUUGUGGUUUAUGAUUCUUUCUCUUCUCCAAUGUUCUAUCUAAAUCUAGCAACCUCUCCCAUUAUCUUCCUCUUAUUUUGUUAUCUUGAUGGGUUGGUUUUAAGUUGU